UCGGGACGCUCCGGCUCCCCUCGGCGGCGCCCGUGACAGGGGCGCUCGGGCCUCUCCGGCGGCGCUCGGGCGGCCCCGUCCAGGGCGCAGGGCGCAGGCGCGGUCGGCCCCGGCGGUCCUUGUUGUGGCCCGGCCGCCUCUAGCCGCCGGCCGGCCCGGGAUGGCGGCCUUCGGCGUUCUCAGCUACGAGCACCGCCCGCUCAAGCGCCCGCGCCUCGGCCCGCCUGACGUCUACCCGCAGGACCCCAAGCAAAAGGAGGAUGAGCUGACUGCUCUGAACGUCAAGCAAGGCUUCAAUAACCAGCCAGCAGUCUCUGGGGACGAGCAUGGCAGUGCCAAAAAUGUCAAUUUCAACCCAGCGAAGAUCAGUUCAAAUUUUAGCAGUAUUAUCGCAGAAAAGCUGCGGUGCAAUACACUGCCUGACACGGGAAGACGGAAACCCCAGGUGAAUCAGAAGGAUAACUUUUGGCUGGUGACAGCACGUUCUCAGAGUGCCAUAAACAACUGGUUCACAGAUCUGGCUGGAACUAAGCCCCUCACUCAUCUCGCUAAGAAGGUGCCCAUCUUUAGCAAGAAGGAAGAGGUCUUUGGUUAUUUGGCGAAAUACACUGUUCCAGUAAUGAGAGCAGCCUGGCUCAUCAAAAUGACUUGUGCCUAUUAUGCUGCCAUCACGGAAACCAAGGUGAAAAAGCGUCAUGUCAUUGAUCCCUUCAUUGAAUGGACGCAGAUCAUCACCAAGUACCUGUCAGAGCAGCUGCAGAAAAUUGCGGAGUUCUAUAGACAGCUCCCAGGGCAAGGCUGUGGUUCACCAUCUGGGCCAAUGCCCCAAGAGGUGGAACAAGCUUUGAAGCAGUGGGACUACAAUGAGAAACUAGCUAUGUUCAUGUUCCAGGAUGGCAUGCUGGACCGGCAUGAAUUCCUGACGUGGGUCCUCGAGUGCUUUGAGAAGAUACGGUCAGGAGAAGAUGAAUUUCUGAAAAUGCUCCUACCCCUGCUGCUGCGGUACUCUGGAGAGUUUGUGCAGUCUGCAUACCUGUCCAGACGUCUGGCCUACUUCUGCACCCGCAGGCUUGCUAUGCAGCUGGAUGGUGCUGGCGGGCACCCACCCCACAUCCUGUCUGCCCAGACAGGGAAUGCUCUUCCUUCAACUCCCACCCCUCAGCCAGCUGCAGGGAAUCCUCCUCCCAGCCCUUUCAGCGACUUACUGCUGUGCCCCCAGCACAGGCCAGUGGUAUAUGGGCUCAGCUGCAUCCUCCAGAGUAUAAUUUUGUGUUGCCCAAGUGCCCUUGUGUGGCAUUACUCAUUGACUGAUAGCAGGAUAAAGACCGGCUCUCCAUUGGACCACCUGCCUAUAGCCCCGUCCAACUUGCCCAUGCCAGGAGGGAAUUCAGCCUUUACGCAGCAGGUUCGGGCAAAGCUGCGUGAAAUUGAGCAGCAGAUAAAGGAACGCGGCCAGGCUGUGGAGGUUCGCUGGUCAUUUGACAAGUGCCAGGAAACCACAGCAGGUUUCACUAUUGGCCGUGUCUUGCACACUUUAGAAGUUCUGGACAGUCACAGCUUUGAAAGAUCUGACUUCAGCAACUCUUUGGAUUCCUUGUAUAACAGGAUAUUUGGGCUGGGUCCAACCAAAGACAGUCACGAGAUCUCCCCAGAUGACGAUGCAGUGGUGGCCUUGCUGUGCGAGUGGGCUGUCAGCUAUAAACGCUCUGGACGCCACAGGGCUAUGGUCGUGGCCAAACUCUUAGAGAAGCGUCAAGCAGAGAUAGAGGCUGAGAGAUGUGGGGACUCUGAAGUUGUGGAUGAGAAGGGCUCCAUCUCCUCAGGCUCUCUCUCAGCAGCCAGCGCUCCUGUCUUUCAGGAUGUCCUUAUGCAGUUCCUUGACACUCAAGCUCCUAUGCUAACUGAUCCUGGGAAGGAGAAUGAGAAGGUGGAGUUCUUUAACCUGGUGUUGCUGUUCUGUGAGCUAAUCCGACAUGAUGUCUUCUCUCACAACAUCUACAUGUGCACACUCAUCUCCCGGGGUGAUCUUGCCAUGGAUUCUCAUGGGCCUCGCCCGCCCUCUCCCUUCGAUGACCCUGCUGAGGAGCACGACAGGAAGGAGACAGAGGGAAACAGUGGCAUCAAGCUAGAGGACACAGGUCUUUCUGAGCCCAUGGACAUCGACCACAACUCCAGCAUGCUCUUUGAUGACAUGGAGAAGACAGACUUUUCGAUGUUUUCUCCUCCAAUGCAUUGUGAAUCUAAAGCCAGUCCUUCCCCUGAGAAACCAGAUCCUGAAAAGGAAGCAAAGCCUUUGCUGAAGGAUAAGUCUGUGGAAGGAAUGCUAGCAUCCCUGUAUGACCAGCCUCGGCACAUCCAGUAUGCAACACACUUUCCUAUUCCUCAGGAGGAGUCAUGCAGUCAUGAGUGUAACCAACGGUUGGUAGUUCUUUUUGGGGUUGGAAAACAACGGGAUGAUGCUCGGCAUACAAUCAAGAAAAUAACUAAAGACAUUCUUAAAGUCUUAAACAGAAAGAGCACUGCAGAGACAGGUGGAGAGGAAGGCCAGAAGAGGAAAAAGAGCAAGCCAGAAGCAUUCCCAACAGCUGAAGAUAUCUUUGCAAAGUUCCAGCACCUUUCUCACUUUGAUCAGCACCAAGUCACAUCUCAGGUAUCUCGCAAUGUCUUGGAACAGAUCACCAGCUUUGCCUUGGGAAUGUCAUACCACCUGCCUCUGGUACAGCACGUGCAGUUCAUUUUUGACUUGAUGGAGUAUUCACUCAAUAUCAGUGGUCUUAUUGACUUUGCCAUCCAGUUGCUGAAUGAACUGAGCGUGGUGGAGGCAGAACUGCUGUUGAAAUCCUCCGACCUUGUUGGCAGCUACACCACCAGCUUGUGCCUGUGCAUCGUGGCUGUGCUGCGGCACUACCACUCCUGCCUUAUAUUGAACCAGGACCAGAUGGCUCAGGUCUUCGAAGGUCUGUGUGGGGUGGUGAAACAUGGCAUGAAUCGCUCAGAUGGCUCCUCAGCAGAGCGCUGUAUCCUGGCCUAUCUCUACGACCUGUAUACCUCCUGCAGUCACCUCAAAAGUAAAUUUGGGGAGCUCUUUAGUGACUUCUGCUCCAAGGUGAAGAAUACAAUCUACUGCAAUGUUGAGCCAUCUGACUCCAACAUGCUAUGGGAACCAGAGUUCAUGAUUGACACUAUUGAAAAUCCAUCUGCACAUAACUUUACAUACACCAACCUGGGCAAGAGCCUCAAUGAAAACCCAGCCAACCGCUACAGUUUUGUCUGUAAUGCACUUAUGCAUGUGUGUGUGGGACACCACGAUCCAGACAGGGUGAACGACAUUGCUAUCCUGUGUGCUGAGCUAACUGGCUACUGCAAGUCUCUAAGCGCCGAGUGGCUGGGUGUGCUCAAAGCUUUGUGCUGUUCCUCCAAUAAUGGGACCUGUGGCUUCAAUGAUCUCCUCUGCAAUGUUGAUGUCAGUGACUUAUCUUUCCAUGAUUCCUUGGCCACCUUUGUUGCCAUUCUCAUUGCCCGGCAGUGCUUGCUGCUGGAGGACCUGAUUCGCUGUGCUGCUAUUCCCUCACUCCUCAAUGCUGCCUGCAGUGAACAGGAUUCAGAACCAGGAGCACGUCUGACCUGCCGGAUUUUACUCCAUCUGUUUAAGACUCCACAGCUGAACCCAUGCCAGCAGGAUGGCAACAAACCCACGGUGGGAAUCCGCUCUUCCUGUGACCGUCACUUACUGGCAGCUUCCCAGAAUCGUAUUGUGGAUGGAGCAGUCUUUGCAGUGCUGAAGGCUGUCUUUGUUCUGGGAGAUGCAGAACUGAAAGGCUCUGGCUUUUCCCACCCCGGAGGUGUCGAUGAUCUCAUGGAUGAUGAGCUGGGCACCAGGAAGGCCACUGGUCGGGUAGUAACUGUAGAAACAGCUAGCUUGGAUAUUUAUGCCAAGUAUGUACUAAGGAGUAUAUGUCAGCAGGAGUGGGUAGGUGAGCGAUGUCUGAAGUCCCUCUGUGAAGACAGCAAUGACUUGCAGGAUCCUGUCCUGAGCAGCACACAGGCCCAGAGGCUGAUGCAGCUGAUUUGUUAUCCACACCGGCUGCUGGACAAUGAGGAAGGAGAAAAUCCUCAGCGCCAGAGGAUUAAACGCAUCUUACAGAAUCUGGACCAGUGGACCAUGAGGCAGUCCUCGCUGGAGCUGCAGCUCAUGAUUAAGCAGACAGCAAACAAUGAGAUGAACUCCUUGUUAGAAAAUAUCGCCAAGGCCACCAUUGAGGUAUUCCAGCAGUCAGCAGAGACCAGCUCUGCUAGCUCUGCUGGUAAUGGAGUCAACAAUAUCAGUAGCUCAGCAAGUGCUACGCCUGCCAGCAACAAAUCCAAACCCAUCCUCAGCUCCCUGGAGAGAUCAGGAGUGUGGCUGGUGGCCCCUCUGAUUGCCAAGCUUCCAACAUCAGUGCAGGGCCAUGUGCUGAAAGCUGCUGGAGAAGAACUGGAGAAAGGACAACAUUUGGGGUCAUCGUCCCGCAAAGAGCGGGACCGCCAGAAGCAGAAGAGCAUGUCCCUCCUGAGCCAGCAGCCGUUUCUGUCACUGGUGCUAACAUGCUUGAAGGGACAGGAUGAGCAGCGGGAAGGGCUCCUUACCUCUCUGUACAGUCAGGUCCAGCAGAUUGUUACGAAUUGGCGGGAAGAUCAGUACCAAGAUGACUGCAAAGCCAAGCAGCUGAUGCAUGAAGCCCUGAAACUGCGGCUGAAUUUGGUGGGAGGAAUGUUUGACACAGUUCAGCGCAGUACACAGCAGACGACUGAAUGGGCUGUGCUUCUCUUGGACAUCAUCAGCAGUGGCACCGUAGACAUGCAGUCAAACAAUGAGCUCUUCACCACCGUGUUGGACAUGCUGAGUGUUCUCAUCAAUGGCACGCUGGCUGCUGAUAUGUCCAGCAUUUCUCAGGGCAGCAUGGAGGAGAACAAGCGGGCAUACAUGAAUCUUGUCAAGAAACUCAGGAAAGAGCUGGGGGACCGACAAUCUGACAGCCUGGAGAAGGUGCGACAGCUGCUGCCGCUUCCCAAGCAGACACGAGAUGUGAUCACCUGUGAACCUCAGGGAUCCCUCAUUGACACCAAAGGCAAUAAAAUAGCUGGAUUUGACUCCAUCUUUAAAAAGGAGGGUUUGCAAGUCUCUACAAAGCAGAAGAUUUCCCCUUGGGAUCUGUUUGAGGGCUUAAAGCACUCAGCCCCCCUCUCCUGGGGAUGGUUUGGGACAGUCCGGGUGGAUCGCAAGGUGUCUAGAUUUGAGGAGCAGCAGAGGCUUCUUCUGUACCACACGCACUUGAAACCCAAGCCCCGCAGUUACUACCUGGAGCCGUUGCCACUGCCCCCUGAGGAGGAAGAGCCUCCUACACCCGUGGCUUUGGAGCCAGAGAAGAAAGCUGCAGAACCAGCCAAGGCUGAUAAAACAAGCUCCAAUCCUGCCACAUCUACUGAAGAACGCAAGAAGAAACAGAGCAAAACCAAGAAACGCAACCAAUCUGCCAGCAAAACUGAGGAUUUUGUGUUGGGCCCUAGCCGAGGGGUUUCAUAUGGAGUUGGUAUGCCUACAGAUCUCUUGCAUCAUCAGUCAGGAAGCACUAUGUCGAGGCUGGCGUAUGGGCAAUCACCAGUGGGUCUCUAUGCCCAGAAUCAGCCUCUUCCAGCAGGUGGCCCUCGCCUGGAUACAUCCUACAGACCUGUACGCAUGCCACUGGGGAAACUUGUUCAGAGUCGUCCUCCCUAUAGUGGUGUGCUGCCUCCAGGGAUGGGGAGCAUGAUGGGCAUUGACCCCUCCUACAAGCCAGCAGUGUACAGACAGCAGCCUCCAGUGUCCCAGGGACAGAUACUGAGGCAGCAGCUUCAAGCGAAGUUGCAGGGCCAAGGCAUAAUGGGACAGCAGCCCGUGCGCCAGAUGGCUCCAACCCCAUCCUAUGGAGCACUGCAGCCCUCCCAGGGUUACACACCUUACGUCUCCCACAUAGGCCUUCAGCAGCACCCCUCCCAGUCAGGCACAAUGGUACCUCCUACCUAUUCUGGCCAGCCCUAUCAGAAUUCCCACCCCAGCUCUAAUCCUGCCCUGGUGGAUCCUGUUAGACAGAUGCAGCAGAGACCAAGUGGCUACGUACACCAGCAGGCCCCUGGCUAUGGGCACACCUUGGGCAACACACAGAGGUUUCCUCACCAGUCAAUACAGCAGGCCCCCAUGAUGAGUGGGAUGAACCAUUUGGGUCCACAAGGAGUCCCCUCAGGAAUUCGACCCAGCCAGAUACUGCCUGACCAGCAGCAGCAGCAGUACCUGAGGCAGCAGCAGCAACAGCAGCAGCAGAUGCUGAGGCAGCAGCAGCAACAGCAGCAGCAGCAGCAACAGCAGCAGCAGCAGCAGCAACAGCAACAGCAGCAGCAGCCGCAGCCGCCGCAGCCACAGCCGCAGCAGCAACCCCAGGUCUCCACAGUGCCUCAGCCACAGGCACAGGGCCAGCCCCCAGGGCUGGGGAUGCAGGCUCUUCCCCCCCAGCAGCCCAUUGUGAGUGUUCCCUCAGAGGCAGAGGGACGUGAUAGACCAGCACAAAUCCAACGGUGCUCCACCUGCAUCCCCCCCUUCUCCCUCCCCUGCGCUUCCCAGGACCUGUGUGAAUGCCGAGGCUGCCAGCCAGGUGGUGUGGCUAUAACUACGUUUCUGUCUUUGCAGUUCCAGCGCCAGGGCCUUCAGCAGACACAGCAGCAGCAGCAAACAGCUGCUCUGGUUCGACAGCUUCAGCAACAGCUUUCUAGUAAGCCUUAAUGUUCUUGAUCCUGUCCCUAGUCUCCUCCCACCAUUUUCUGUUGCAGGUACCCUGGUGUAGAGAAGCAAGGCCAAACCAGACUGUCUGAGACCAUAAAUGGUGCUGGCAGGGAUUUGGCAUCAGGACUUGGAGCUCCUGGCCCAAGGGGGCACAGCAGCAGGGCAGGCAGAGUUUGCCAGCUUGUGAGCAACCUUCCAGACCUUCCUUCUGCUGCUUGCAGAGGGGCAAGGGAGCUUAGACUUUGUAGGGGCUGCCAUGCAGCUUUCCUGAAAGGAUGCAGUAUGAAGCUUUAAAGCAUUCAGAGGUAUUUCCUCUGCUGCAGAUGACCUCUGAGGUGCACAAGAAGGCUGUAACCCUGGGGCACUCACUUGGUGGAUGACCCAGAGAUACUGUGUUCUUGUGAUCAGGGCAAGACUUCUUGGAGGCAGGGAGGGUACUCUGGGAAGUGUUGCUGCACACUUGCUGUGUUUGCGGUGUUCUGUGGGCUUCUGUGGCUGCUGUCACAGACAGGGUAAUGGCAUAGGUGGUGUUUCAUCUGGCACUGUAUUCCUAUAAUCUGCACUGAACUACUGGCUGGGAGAUCUAGAAACAGAACCCAGUGUCUGUGCUGUUCCCUUCUGAAUGGCCUGCUGUUUUACUGUCACCUCACUGGCUUUUCUGCCAUAAAAAUGACAGAUAUGCUAUGAAAAUGCCCAGAAAUGGACUGCACAGGGUUUUUUUGCAGUGCAUUAAGUGUGAGACUGUGCUAGAUAUAAUAACGUGUGGAGUGGGGGCUUGGAAACUGUGCUUAUACUUGCUCCCUGAUGGAAAAUUCUUAGUCCUUGUGACCAAAAAACCCUCCCCAAACCAGGAGUUUUAAUGUGCUAAAUUUCCCACUAGCCUGAUUCACAAACCACAAGCCCGUGCAAGGAUCCCAGCCAGGACAUUCAAGCAUAGGAAGACCUCAUAUAAGAAUCUGAAUAUAGCAGAAAGACAUAUUUUUGUAUCUUGCCUGUACAGCAAAUGGAGCUGUUCUAUGUGGAACAGAUACAUGGGUCCAAUGCAGCCAUGUGUCAGCGUGCAGCUUCCAUGCUCCCUCAUUGGGUUUGCAUCAGUUCCACCAGGCACCAUCUGGAGUUCAUAUUUGUACUGUCUGGGAUGGAGUGGAAAGCAGGACAUAAACCAGGAACAACCUGUAGGAGGGGGACAAGAAUACUUUGGGCCCAGGAUAGGCUGCUUUAGGAGGCUCCAGGUUAUCCCUGAAUGUGCUGUUGUGCAGCGGAGUUGAGAAGGAGAGCAGGCUAGCCAGGUUACACUGGUCUCCUUUUACUUAGUCUGACUUAGGUUCAAACACGCUGAUGGGGUUUCAGGAAAAAAACUACAGAAUUCUAUUAAUCGGACAGUACCCAAGUGUACUCUGAGCACUGUAUAUCACAAAACAUCAGUCCCAGCAGUUUGGAAGUUCAUUAGGUUCUUGAAUAUAUCUUUACCAUGUUUCCUGUCCUUUUUGUGCCAUCUGGAAGUCCUUUGGGCAUGUCCUUCAUUUGUACUGAGAUAGUGACAGGGAGCCAGGGUAGUUUGAAACCUUCACUAACUCUGGUUUCUGGGUGUGCCUCAGGAUGAGUGUUUGACACUAGCUGUCUGAGCAGCUUGUGGGGCUGCAGGUGUUGUGCAAUCUUAUAGGGCUGAUUUUCUUUCAAAAUCGGAAAUAAUUCAUCCAUAAAGUCAUCCUCCCAGCUAGCUGCCACCUUUCAGGGCUUUGUUAUGGUGCACCAGUUCCACCACGAGUGAUGGAGAGACCUCCUCUGGAGAAGCUUCAGGAUCGGGACUGGCACAUACCUGUCUUCCUUAAAGAAUGUGGGGUCCUGACUGUGCUGCUGCCUAAAGGCUCAGACAAAUGACCAGAGCAGGGAGUGCCAUAAAGAUACACAGACACAGCAGAACAACAACCCGUUUGGACGCUACUGAUCUGUGGCACUUCAGCCUCAUCCAGGAGGGAGACAUCACUGUGGACUGGAUACAGCCUCUUCAGCCUGACCUACAAACUGGGGCUGCCCCCAACCUCUGUCCCUGGGCCUGUGCUCCCAGUGCUGCUGCUGCUGCCCGUCUCACAGGGAGAUGCCAGGAGGAUGGUUUUAUUGUACAGAGAAAGUGUUUUUAUUAUCCAAUUUCUACAAAUGUUUAUGGAGAUCCCUUGUGGCUGAUAGUCUCCCUUCCCACUUUGGUUUCAGUUUUUACUCAGUUUUUAGUAUUUUGUUAAAAUAAUGAUUAAGACAUUGUAAAAUUUUGUACUUUAUUUAUACCAGAUGAACCCCAUACUGCAGACAUUCUUGGAUGAAUACAGAGAGCUUACUUUGCAAAA